rnacentral:rRNA from 1 species
UACGUAGGGUGCAAGCGUUGUCCGGAAUUAUUGGGCGUAAAGAGCUCGUAGGCGGUCUGUCGCGUCUGCUGUGAAAACUCGGGGCUUAACCCCGGGCCUGCAGUGGGUACGGGCAGACUAGAGUGCGGUAGGGGAGACUGGAAUUCCUGGUGUAGCGGUGAAAUGCGCAGAUAUCAGGGGGAACACCGGUGGCGAAGGCGGCUCUCUGGGACGGUACUGACGCUGAGACGCGAAAGCGUGGGGAGCGAACAGG